rnacentral:rRNA from 1 species
ACGAACGCUGGCGGUGUGCUUAACACAUGCAAGUCGCACGGAAAGGCCCUGCUUUUGUGGGGUGCUCGAGUGGCGAACGGGUGAGUAACACGUGAGUAACCUGCCCUUGACUUUGGGAUAACUUCAGGAAACUGGGGCUAAUACCGGAUAGGAGCUCCUGCUGCAUGGUGGGGGUUGGAAAGUUUCGGCGGUUGGGGAUGGACUCGCGGCUUAUCAGCUUGUUGGUGGGGUAGUGGCUUACCAAGGCUUUGACGGGUAGCCGGCCUGAGAGGGUGACCGGCCACAUUGGGACUGAGAUACGGCCCAGACUCCUACGGGAGGCAGCAGUGGGGAAUAUUGCACAAUGGGCGGAAGCCUGAUGCAGCAACGCCGCGUGCGGGAUGACGGCCUUCGGGUUGUAAACCGCUUUCGCCUGUGACGAAGCGUGAGUGACGGUAAUGGGUAAAGAAGCACCGGCUAACUACGUG